rnacentral:rRNA from 1 species
CCUACGGGAGGCAGCAGUGGGGAAUAUUGCACAAUGGGGGAAACCCUGAUGCAGCGACGCCGCGUGAGCGAAGAAGUAUUUCGGUAUGUAAAGCUCUAUCAGCAGGGAAGAAAAUGACGGUACCUGACUAAGAAGCACCGGCUAAAUACGUGCCAGCAGCCGCGGUAAUACGUAUGGUGCAAGCGUUAUCCGGAUUUACUGGGUGUAAAGGGAGCGUAGACGGCUGUGUAAGUCUGAAGUGAAAGCCCGGGGCUCAACCCCGGGACUGCUUUGGAAACUAUGCAGCUAGAGUGUCGGAGAGGUAAGUGGAAUUCCCAGUGUAGCGGUGAAAUGCGUAGAUAUUGGGAGGAACACCAGUGGCGAAGGCGGCUUACUGGACGAUGACUGACGUUGAGGCUCGAAAGCGUGGGGAGCAAACAGGAUUAGAUACCCUGGUAGU